ensembl:lncRNA
CGGGCUGACGCCUGGGGCUGGGAGCUUCAUCGGGGUCUCCCACAUCAGGACAGGGCCCCAAGCACUUGGCCCGUCCUCUGCUGCCUUCCCAGGCGCGUUAGCAGGGAGCUGGAUCGGAAGUGGAGCAGCUGGGACUCGAACUGGCACCCAUAUGGGAUGCCGGUGUUGCCGGUGGCAGCUUUACCAGCUACGCCGCGGCUCUGGCCCCUGUAACAUGCAUUUUCCAUGCACUUUUUGACAAGCCGUGUAGGAUGCUGCAGGAUUUUGGUCAGGAAUGGAAUACAGUAAAGAACGUUGGGAAAAAUUGAAACAGAGUGCUCAUUCACGCUCUUCCCUUGAACAGAAUGACGAAACGUUUCCUGCAACAACUCUGCAAGCAGCACAAGCUUUACGUCACCCCAGCGCUGAACGAUUCGCUGUACUUGCACUUUAAAGGUGAGCCUUCACGCUGUACUUACACCGUACAGUGAGCCUUUACACUGUACUUAGACUGUACAGGUGAGCCUUCACGCUGUACUUACACUGUACAGUGAGCCUUCACGCUGUACUUAGACUGUACAGUGAACCUUCACGCUGUACUCACACUGUACAGGGGAGCCUUCACGCUGUAAUUACACUGUACAGUGAGCCUUUACGCUGUACUUAGACUGUACAGGUGAGCCUUCACGCUGUACUUACACUGUACAGGGAGCCUUUACGCUGUACUUACAUUGUGCAGGUGAGCCUUUACGCUGUACUUAGACUGUACGGGGAGCCUUUUACGCUGUAUUUACACUGUACAGUGAGCCUUUACGCUGUACUUAGACUGUACAGGUGAGCCUUUACGCUGUACUCACACUGUGCAGGUGAUCCUUUAUGCUGCACUUACACUGUACAGUGAGCCUUCACACUGUACUUACACUUACAGGGAGCCUUUAUGCUGUACUUACACUGUAUAGCUGAGCCUUUAUGCUGUACUUACAACUGUUCAGGGAGCCUUUACCCUGUACUCACACUGUACAGUGAGCCUUUACGCUGUACUUACACUGUACAGGGAGCCUUUACGCUGUACUUACACUGCACAGUGAGCCUUUAUGCUGUACUUACACUGUACAGUGAGCGUUUAUGCUGUACUUACACUGUACAGGGAGCCUUUAUGCUGUACUACACUGUGCAGGUGAUCCUUUACGCUGUACUUACACUGUACAGGGAGCCUUUACACUGUACUACACUGUGCAGUGAUCCUUUACGCUGUACUUACACUGUACAGGGAGCCUUUACGCUGUACUUACACUGUACAGGGAGCCUUUACGCUGUACUACACUGUGCAGGUGAGCCUUUACACUGUAUUAACACUGUACAGGUGAGCCUUUACACUGUAUUAACACUGUACAGGUGAGCCUUUACACUGUAUUAACACUGUGCAGGUGAGCGCCGCGCCCAGCAGCUGCUCCUGUCCGGGAGUAGACUCUGCCGGGUGGAAUCAAACCACUGUCCCUCAGGUCAUAUUUCUAAGUGGAUAUUUCAGUUUUAGAGGAGAUUUGUGGAAGAGAAAUAAUAGUUAUGUCGAGAAAAAGUCAUGCCUGUCUGUAUUGGGUACAUAUGGAUACCAAAGAAACACAUUGCUAUCUUUUAUUUAUGUUUUCUAAGGACUUAGAAAUGUUCUUUAAUUUUUGAAAAGAUCUCAUUUCAAAGGCAGAGGAGUAGAGAGAGGCAGAGAAACAGAGAAAGAAAGAGAGAGAAAGAGAUCUUCCACCUGUUGGUUCAUUCCCCAAAUACCUGCAGCAGCCAAGGCUGGGCACAGCCACAGCCGGGAACCCAGCACUCCAUCCACGUCUCCUGUGCCAGUGCCAGGGACCCACGUACUUGGGCCAUCAUCUGCUGCCUCCCGCGGUGCGCACUGGCAGGAUGCCGGAUCGGAAGCAGAGUGGCCGGGACUCAGUCCCCCAGGCACCUCACGGCGCCGCACGCCCACCCUGACUUAGAAUUCCUCAAAGCAGGAAGCUGGUUUGCGAGUUCUCGGGUGUGGGGAUGAUACGUUAUGAGGGACGGAAGGCUGGUGUGCACAACAAAGGAAGAGGUCUCUGCGGAGGGGGUGGGCAGGGGCAGCCCCUAGAGCUCAAGGUCAGGUUCGUGGGCGGAGCUAUUCCGGCAGUGAUGUUGGGCAGUGCCCUUGGGAAAUUCUUAGGCUGUGAAAACCAGGCCGACUAAGAAGAAGUCUUGGCCGGCGCCGCGGCUCACUAGGCUAAUCCUCCACCUAGCGGCACCGACACACCGGGUUCUAGUCCCGGUCGGGGCACCGGAUUCUGUCCCGGUUGCCCCUCUUCCAGGCCAGCUCUCUGCUGUGGCCCGGGAGUGCAGUGGAGGAUGGCCCAAGUGCUUGGGCCCUGCACCCCAUG